GCCCUGCUGCUGAGUGUGGAUGGUUCUCCCUGACCAAGCUGGUAGUCUGCAAGGGUCCUGGAGUGUAAACUUCAACACCCUGGCAGUUAAAUCCCUGGGGAUCGGCUCAGGCUGGCAACAGAGCAAGCAAAACUAGGAGCUACCCGCAGUGGUGGGAC
rnacentral:SRP_RNA from 1 species